rnacentral:rRNA from 1 species
CAGCCGCCGCGGGAAUACGGAGGGGGCUAGCGUUGUUCGGAAUUACUGGGCGUAAAGCGCACGUAGGCGGCUUUGUAAGUUAGAGGUGAAAGCCCGGAGCUCAACUCCGGAAUUGCCUUUAAGACUGCAGAGCUAGCAGGUGAGAGAGGUGAGUGGAAUUCCGAGUGUAGGGGUGAAAUUCGUAGAUAUUCGGAAGAACACCAGUGGCGAAGGCGGCCAUCUGGGACAACACUGACGCUGAGGCACGAAAGCGUGGGGAGCAAACAGGAUUAGAUACCCCCGUAGUCCCUGUCUCUUAUAC